GAUGAAGAACGUAGCGAAAUGCGAUAAGUAAUGUGAAUUGCAGAAUUCUGUGAAUCAUCGAAUCUUUGAACGCACAUUGCGCCCGCCAGUAUUCUGGCGGGCAUGCCUGUCUGAGCGUCAUUUCAACCCUCAUGCCCCUAGGGCGUGGUGUUGGGGAUCGGCCAAAGCCCGCGAGGGACGGCCGGCCCCUAAAUCUAGUGGCGGACCCGUCGUGGCCUCCUCUGCGAAGUAGUGAUAUUCCGCAUCGGAGAGCGACGAGCCCCUGCCGUUAAACCCCCAACUUUCCAAGGUUGACCUCAGAUCAGGUAGGAAUACCCGCUGAACUUAAGCAUAUCAAUAAGCGGAGGA
rnacentral:misc_RNA from 1 species